AACGAACGCUGGCGGCAUGCCUAACACAUGCAAGUCGAACGAAGGCUUCGGCCUUAGUGGCGCACGGGUGCGUAACGCGUGGGUAUCUGCCCCUCGGUUCGGAAUAACAGUUAGAAAUGACUGCUAAUACCGGACGAUGACUUCGGUCCAAAGAUUUAUCGCCGAGGGAUGAGCCCGCGUAAGAUUAGGUAGUUGGUGGGGUAAAGGCCUACCAAGCCGACGAUCUUUAGCUGGUCUGAGAGGAUGAUCAGCCACACUGGGACUGAGACACGGCCCAGACUCCUACGGGAGGCAGCAGUGGGGAAUAUUGGACAAUGGGCGAAAGCCUGAUCCAGCAAUGCCGCGUGAGUGAUGAAGGCCUUAGGGUUGUAAAGCUCUCUUACCAGGGAUGAUAAUGACAGUACCUGGAGAAUAAGCUCCGGCUAACUCCGUGCCAGCCGCCGCAGUAA
rnacentral:rRNA from 1 species